UAAUAAGUGUUUUAUGGCACUUUUUAAAUCCAUAUCCACCUUGUGUGCAAUGUCAGUCGAUCUUCUUCAUGGAGAUCGACCAAACAUCAACCUUUAUCUUUUAACUCUUUGUCUGAAAACUAUUAUGAAUAACUAAUUCAAAAUA
rnacentral:misc_RNA from 1 species